UGAGGCAGGAGAAUCGCUUGAACCCAGGAGGCAGAGGUUGCAGUGAGCUGAGAUCGCACCAUUGCACCACAGCCUGGGUAACAGAGACUCCGUCUCCAAAAAAAAAAAA
rnacentral:miRNA from 1 species